ensembl:lncRNA
GAGUGGCUGUUUGUGCUAAGAGGGGAAUGCCCACAGGUAAUUUAUCUUGACGUUUAUAGAAAGCAUAAGGGUUUACUCAUUCAUAAACGAAGGAACAGAGUGUUUUUCGGCAUUGGCUGAGCUCUGGGGCUGCUCCAGCGUUAUUGUAGCUGAUUGUAAUCGUUUCCGGACGUGCCCCAAUAUGCCUACAGGGGGGUUGCAUGGGAACAGUAACAACGUGAGACAGAAGAGAAAACCUGUUGGGCAGGAACAGCCCGAGGAGGGCUGACAGCUCCUCUUCCUCCCCUGCUUUUCUGAAUGGCAGUGGAAGGAGAGCCUGGGGAGGUGCUGGCACCCGGUGUGAUGCGCAGUGGGUGCGUGGUUGUUGUAGCUGUCAGCUGCUGUGUGGACAGCAAACAGUGGGGCUGUGCUGCCAGGCAGUACCUGGGUUUGCUGUCAGCGUGCUCUGGAGCAGUGAAGGUUUUCUGUGCAAAUGCAGUGGCUUGCAGAGCUUUCUUCUUGCAAGUGGUGCAUCUGUUGGCAGCUCUUGGCAAACCUUGUCUAGCAGGGUGUGCAAGGGAUCCGGCUGGGCUGCAGGAGCACAAGGGGAGCAGCCAGGUCUCAGGAGUGAGAAAUGUCACUUUGCAAUGAGAGGAACUCCAGGCUGGAGAGUGAGAGAGUCUCCUGAAAUAGUUGGUGAGCCGGAGCUGGGAUCUGGGCUCAGAUGCUUUCUUUGGGUUUGACUGGAGCUGGAGCCCACUCACUGCAGGGGAUGGGACCAGGACCCCCGUGCUGCCCCUUCUCUCUGCAGCUUUGGCUCCAGGUGACUCAUGGGACAGCCCUGUGUUCUGCAGCCUAGGGGUUGCCCCAGGUCAGAGCUAUGGCCUUAUUAAAAGUGCCCUUAUUCCCAGGCUGAACGGCCACAUCUAUGUGGCUGCAGCAGCUUGGGUUCCCCUCUCUAUUACCACAUUUGCUCCCCAUGCAGUGGCUCAUGAGCUCAUGGACUUAACCCUCAGACCUUCCCACUGUAAACUGUUUUACUCUCUGAAAGCCGAGAGCAGCUCCCAGGCAGGUAAUUAAUUAGAAAUGUGGAUUCGGAGGCUUGUUUCCCUUCCCUCUGUGUAGCUGCUGUGAUUUCUUAUUUCAAAUGACUUUUUUAUUGAGCGUCUUAUAAACAUGACUCUGUUUUAAUGGAGAAAUCGCUCCCCUCCCACCCUGGGCUUUACAAACAGCAUGUCUCCAAGCUCUGCUGUCCUUGCUGAUGCUGUCAGCCUCUACGUGUGUGUGUGUGUGUGUGUGUGUACGCACAGCCGCGUGCAUCCAAGCACACACACAUGCAGAACUAAAACAGGAGUUUGACAGCCGUGGGUUUGCUGAGCAGCUUGGAUCCAGCCAAGCUCCAGUUGACUUCAAUACAACCCUGCCUGGUUUAUGAGCCUUCGGAGCACAGCCUGAGCAGGGGCAGCUUGUAUAACGGCCGUGCAUGAUUAGUGCUUGUAUUACAAUAGCACUUCAGGACCCCAAUUGCGGCUCAGCGCCCCAUUAGAGUAGUCCUUGUACAAACACGUCAUAAAGACGUGGGCUCUGACCCAAGCAGCUAACAAUUGAGGUCUUUAUAGCCCCCGAGGCACCUUAGGAUCAAUUAUUUCUA